rnacentral:rRNA from 1 species
AAUAUUGGACAAUGGGGGCAACCCUGAUCCAGCAAUGCCGCGUGAGUGAUGAAGGCCUUAGGGUUGUAAAGCUCUUUUACCAGGGAUGAUAAUGACAGUACCUGGAGAAUAAGCUCCGGCUAACUCCGUGCCAGCAGCCGCGGUAAUACGGAGGGCGCUAGCGUUGUUCGGAAUUACUGGGCGUAAAGCGCACGUAGGCGGUUACUCAAGUCAGAGGUGAAAGCCCGGGGCUCAACCCCGGAACUGCCUUUGAAACUAGGUAACUAGAAUCCUGGAGAGGUGAGUGGAAUUCCGAGUGUAGAGGUGAAAUUCGUAGAUAUUCGGAAGAACACCAGUGGCGAAGGCGGCUCACUGGACAGGUAUUGACGCUGAGGUGCGAAAGCGUGGGGAGCAAACAGG